rnacentral:lncRNA from 1 species
GUUUUACCCCCUGCUCCUCUGGUCACCCUCCCUAUGGAUCCCUGCAGUGCCAGGCAGGAAUGGCCUGCUAGGGGAUGCAGCAAGCUCCCAGGGCCUUUCUGCUGCUUCUUCUACCCCUGUAUUUCACUCAGCUCUCUAAAUUGACUCAGCUGCAGUUCCCAUGAGCAUGAGAGAAGAAGCAAUGCACGCUCCGGCAGAUUCCUAGGAACCAAAUACCUCUGAGGAGCACCAGAUUUCAGCUUAUGGGAUGCUUUGAUUGCUCUGUGGCUGCAUUUAGGAGAAGGAAGCUGCAGUCAUGCGUCAUCACUGCCAGCCUCACAUCUCUUGACAGUUAAAGCCUUAGGGUGGAGCAAGGGAAAAUUUAAAAUAACAAAUGAAGCAAAAGCAAGAGGUGAUGUUCCAAAGCAGAGGAAGGCUAAGUUUAUAUAUACAAAUGUCAAGUGUGUAUAGUGCAAAACUAGGACCAGUUGGUGGAAUCUGUGGUCAAAAACAAAAGCCUUCCUUUUUUUUUUUUCAAGGUAAGCAUCUUGCUCUGUCACCCAGGCUGGAGUGCAGUGGCUUCAUCUCUGCUCACUGCAACCUCCACCAUCUCCUGGGCUCAAGCCAUCCUUCCACCUCAGCCUUCCGAGUAGCUGAGACCACAGCCAUGGGUUACAAUGCCUCAGAUAACAAACAUUACUUUUUUUGAUAGGAUGGGGUUUCUCCAUGUUGCCCCUGCUGGUCUCAAACUCCUGGGCUCAUACAAUCCCAAAGUGCUGAGAUUAUAGGCAUAAGCCAUUGCACUGGGCAGGACAAUUUUUUUUUUUAAAUUAAAACUAGAACUUCUUAUUGAGGGAAAUACGACCAUGUAUUUUAAAUUGUAAAAAACAGUUCUGCAUGUGAUCUUCAUAUAGAAAACAUUAAUAUAUUUUCUGUAUAAAAAGAAGGGAGGAAUAAAAGAUUUGAGCUGAUGACCUUUCAACAUACAAAGUCUACAAGCUUUUUAUUUAAAGCCAUUGUUUGUAUGUUAAAUUUUACAAUAAUUGAGAUAAUUAUAGAUACUUUAGUAGUUGGAAAUGAGUCAGAAAUACAUGCAUGGUCUACAUGUUGGAAAUAAUUUUGUUAUACUAAGGUAGACCCACUAGGGUACUAUAGCAUGUGCAGUGGAGAAAUGACCCUAGCAAGUUGUCAAAAGUCACUAGGGGCUCAAAGUUGUAGGGCAUUAGGACCUAGUGUUCAUAGUUACAGAGAACAUUUUAGCUCUAUUAUGUAGUAUCCUAUAGCUGCCCAUUAUUCAAGGAGGGCAAUUGUCAGUCACUCCCCUUGGGAAUCCUUCUGAAUAUAGGAUUUUUCUGUUAGAGAAACUCUGCUAUGUACCUCUAUUUAUACAAGUAUUUAUAUGUAAGCGGAUUUCUAAAAUGGUUGACAUCUAAAAGUUAAAUUCUGCACUUGUUAUACCCAUCUUGACUGGAUUUAUCUUGAAAUGAAAGUAUACUUGAUUUAAGGCAAUGCCAGAGAAGUAUUUAAAUGUAGUUUGUUCCAGGAAUACAUUUGUCUCCAACACUCCCUCCCUGCCUCUCCCCCUGCCCCUUGUAGUAGAACUACUAGAUCAUAUUACCAUGCAGCAAUAUAUAGGUAGAGCAGUAAAAGAUUCUCGCAGGGCCUGAAAGCUUAAGGGAAUGAAUAACUCCUCUCUUCUGAGGCCCAGUCCCAAGACGCAAGACCACUUGCGCCAGCAGCGUGCAUCAGCAAGAUAGCAAAAGCAGGACGAGAGCUGCCCGGAAGACAUCUACCUGGCCAGAAGACACCUACCCUGGCCGGAAGACAUGUACCCCUGAAGAUAGAGAAAGAGGCCAUCGUGUACUACGUAGCAGUCAUGUCAGACUGGGACACUUCCUGUUUACAGAGGACUAUAAAACCCCUGUCCUGUCCUCACUUGGGGCUGACGCCAUCUUAGGCCUCAGCCCGCCUGCAGCCAGGCGUUCGUUAAAACAGCAUGUUGCUCCACACCGCCUUGUAUUGUUUGUUGGUCCCACUCUCUGGGCUCGAACCAAUACAAGCACCUUUCAAGCAGUAUAUUCUUCAGUGUCUUGAUCCUCCAAAUAACUCUCUUCUAAUUCCUCCUGACCACAAAAAGCACUUAUACUCUAGGAUGACUGAUUCCAGCCCAGUGGCCUGGCAAGGGUGAAUUACACCUUGCAUAUCACACUCUUGACAUUUGUGUGCGCUAGCAUAAGAAUUAUAAUUGAAACAGGGAUUUAAGUAUCUCCUCUCUAGGUGCCUACCCUCCUUGGACUCAGGUCAAAUUUAUUAAAGGAAGUUUUGUUUCUAGAUAGGUUGUUUGAAAUAAAAUAACAGAAUGUUCAAGUAACACAGUGUACCUACAGCUUUUAACAAAAUUGAGGACUUGGGUCUCGAAACAAUUUCCUUUGAUUUUCAGGUAUUUUAUCUAUAAAAAGGGAGAUAAAGCAUUAGUUCAUAGGACAGUUAUAUGUUUAAAUGUGAUAAUGUAUAUUAACCACCUUGCAUGUAUUCAAAUGUGUUUUGAAAUCUAACGUCUACAUUUUGAUAGUUUAACUGUUCUACAUAAGUGACUUACAACAGGCAUUAAAUAUUGUUUGGCAUUUUCAUAUAUCUGUAACUGUAUCUUAAUCUACAAUGAGCUUAAUUUUAAGUGUAGCAUAAAACAGAACCUUCAAUAAAGUGGUAAUAUUAGGAAUGAUAUCCAGUUAUCUUAUACACUUAUAAAGUUACCUAUAAAUUCUUACGAAUAUUUUUCUAAAGUAAAAUUUUGAUUUUACUUUAAUUAUAGAUGAGAAGCAACAAAGCAACAUUUAUAACAAUUUAUCCCACUCAGGCAUUUGUUCCCACCAAAUGUGUAUAUUGAUAUACGUACACAUAAAAUAUUCCUGUGUUAGAUUGUCGUCACAUCACUUAUAUAAACUAUUAACCCACUACAAACAAAUUUGUUUUUCAAGUAUUACAGUUGCAUUGAUUUUGAUUUUGAAAAUAUGCAUUCAACUAU